CUCUCGCAUCGAUGAAGAACGUAGCGAAAUGCGAUACUUGGUGUGAAUUGCAGAAUCCCGUGAACCAUCGAGUCUUUGAACGCAAGUUGCGCCCGAGGCUAUUUGGCCGAGGGCACGCCUGCCUGGGCGU
rnacentral:rRNA from 1 species